GCGAAUUUAAUUUCUUGGCAUGUAAUUGAUGUUGUUUUAUCAAAUAAUUACUUAACUAAACAAAUACUAAUAGUUCAUAUGCUGAUCUAUUUCUCAAUGGCAUCUUUCCACCAAAAAUUUCUUGAUUUUGUGAUAUGGCAGUAAUUGCAGUUGCUGACCAAACUAAAAACCUGAUGGAGAUAUCAGAUAUUUAUAUCUCCA
rnacentral:misc_RNA from 1 species